UACGUAGGGUGCAGGCGUUAAUCGGAAUUACUGGGCGUAAAGCGUGCGCAGGCGGUUUGCUAAGACAGGUGUGAAAUCCCCGGGCUUAACCUGGGAACUGCGCUUGUAACUGGCAAGCUAGAGUGUGGCAGAGGGGGGUGGAAUUCCAGGUGUAGCAGUGAUAUGCGUAGAUAUCGGGAGGAACACCUGUGGCGAAGGCGGCUUUCUGGGCCUUACCUGACGCUGAGACGCGAAAGCGUGGGGAGCGAACCGG
rnacentral:rRNA from 1 species